GGUACAUAGAUUUUGAACCCUACACAUUUCAUUAAAUCUUUUAGGUCAGAGUUUGCGUUGUCCACAUUUAUUAAAGGAAGUUUUGUGGUUGAGUACAAAUGAUAGAGCUUGUGGAAGCAAAGCAUAUAUGAGAUAUAAUAAAAAUACUGUCUUUAUGUUUGACUUUAUAUGGUAAAACAAGAACAGGUGGUUAAGUGUUUUCCCCAUUCAAAUGUACAUGUAUAUAUUAUAUUCAUUGUGUUUGUAUUCAUGCCAUAGUUUAGCUUUUUAUUGCUAUGAGAGGGCAUAAUUAAAAUGUUGCCUGCUCUUUUCUCUUAGUUUUGCAGCGUUGAUGCCGAUCAUGAGGACGAUCUGCACCCUAACUGCACUGUCAAUAAGAUCGUUGUUCAGAGAAAACCUCAUUUGUGCCUUUUUGCAAUCAGGGAUAUUUUCUUUGGAGAGGAAAUAACGUUUGACUAUGGCGCAUGUGAUUGGCCUUGGAGAAAGCUUUCAUUGAAGGAUGCCCAUAUGACUGCAGAAGAAAACUGCUCCGACAACUCUCUGAUGAGCUUUCAUUGAAGUAUGAUCAUAUGACGAGAAGAAGAGAACUGCUCUGCUCCAGUAGGAGACCCACAACCCUCUGAUGAGGUUUGCUGAAGUAUGACCGUAUGACAGAAGGAGAGAACAGCUCUGCUCCAGUACGAGACCCACAACCCUCUGAUGAGCUUAUAUUGAAGGAUGACCAUAUGACAGAGGAAGAGAAC